rnacentral:misc_RNA from 1 species
UAAGUGUCAAAAAUGUCGUUGGAUUUAAAUUACUUAUAAUUUUAUUACAAUUAUUUUAGUACAUCAAUGAAAAUAUCACUUACGUGACAAUGGUGAAGCAAUUGAGAUAAUAUACAAAUAUACAAUCCAAUUAAUUAUGGAAAUUGAGAGAAAAUCAAAGUAUUUUUGUGUUUAGGUAACUUUGGCGGGUUUUAUACAAACAAUAGUUUAAUGGCCGCAAAUGUAUAGGGUUCGGAUGGAGUUGUGUCAAGAUCGAAGACGCUACGAAUAUUGUAGUAAAAGUCUCGUCUGGUUCUCACCUCAAAAAUGACGUCUGCAAAUAGUCUAACAAAUCCGUUGAAGAAAAACAUUCUUCAACAACAAACUGCAGUUCCUGAUAGCACAACCUCUGUAGAAAAAGAAAUGUCCGAGUUUUCGAUUGGACAGGAUGUUCUUGUGAAACAAAAAGAUGAGAGGUAUUAUUUUGGAACUGUUGUCCAAGUUAAUAGCAUAAGAGAGCAGUGUUUGGUGAAAUUUGGAGACAAUACUUACAAUUGGUCUACUUAUAAGGACCUAACAAAGUUGAGUACUCCAGAACAGGAAGAUUUAUUGUGUGUUGUAUGCAAAAAAUCGGCUCCCAAGAAAGAGCAAGAAAUUACUGUUUGUGAUCAAUGUGGUAGGGGAUACCAUCAGAAAUGUCAUCAGCCAGAAAUACCUAUUAGCUGCCAAAAGGAGGGUGCUACAUGGAUGUGUAAAAGAUGUGUUGAAAAUGACCCAAACAGACUGAGGAAAAGUGAUCUAAAACACCAACGAAGAGAUUCUUUGCGAAACUUCUCAUCUUCAUGCAAUCAAGAAAUCCAAGUGAUGCCUUCUUCCACAGUAAAAGUAUUUCCCUAUGAUCUAAACACGCUGAACUGGGAUACAUAUCAUAGAGUAAAUAGUGAACAAAUCUAUUGUUACUGUGGAGGUAACGGAGAGUGGUAUAAACAGAUGUUACAGUGUGGAAGAUGUAGACAGUGGUUUCAUGAAGGGUGUCUCGAUUUCCUGCAGUAUCCAUUAUACUGUGGUGAUAGGUUCUAUGUAUUUGUAUGUUCGAUAUGCAAUCAUGGAAAAGAUUUUCUGAGGAGGUUAGAGAUGAAAUGGGUGGAUCUGGUACAUUUAAUGAUAUUUAAUUUAACCGCAUAUAACUCCAAAAAGUAUUAUGAUUUGGAUACUGUCGUCAUUCCUUAUAUUAAUGAUAAUUGGCAUGCACUACAGCUACCACCAAAGAUUGCAAAUGUAACUAAGUCUGAAAGAAGAGAGAAUAUUAUGUCUGUCCUAACAAAUAAUCGUAACCGUUUCAAAUGCGGGAGAGAAAUUAAAAAACGUACUACUAUUUGGGGAUUACGGGUUCGUCUUCCCCCACCAGCGCCAUGCAUUACUCUUCCCCAAACUGGUCCAGUCACCGAAGAAGAUUUGCAGGAACUGUGGCAAGGAAAUAAAAGACUGCAGUUUUUGAGUUUAGAUAAAAAUGCCCCCGUUAAGAGAAUAGUUGCGUCUGAUACGCAAAUGAAAAAUAUCAUGAUGGGAGUUUCCUAUCAGCAAAAUACUGGGCAUUCGGAAACAGACUCACCUUGUCCCAGCCCAGAAAUUGCUGUUGAAGAACCAGUAAUUGAAAAUAACAUUGAUAAUAUAGUACAAAAAAGAAGUUAUAUAGGUGCUGGAUGUGCCAAAAAGAGUGUACCUUUCAAAAAAAUGAGCCUGCAAAGAAGAAAAAAGUUGCUGGCCUUGAGCAGCAGAGAAAGAGAUAGGAUUUUGAAAAGACCCAAGAAACGGAAAAUCUGCGAGGAAAAUUCAAAUGCCUCUAAAGAAGGACACAUGAAAAGACUUAGUUUAGAUAGUAAAAAUAAUAAAAGUAACGAAACACUGCCACCGACUCCCCCGACAUCUGUAAGUGCACCUCCGACACCACCUGCUUCUACAUCUUUAAUAUCAGAGUUGAGUAAUGAUUUCUCAGAAAGCUCUAAUAACCAAACCAAAGUAACUAGUUCCAGAAAAUCUAAUUUAUUGGAAUUAAACUCUGAACUGAAUACCCCUUGUGAUACGUCGGGGGAUGAAACCAGUUCCAAGAGUACCUUGGAUACAAUAAUUCCCCCUCCAAAAGAUUUUGAAGGAAAGAACAAUCCGUUCUUGGCAUUGUUGAGAGUUGUGUCCGAGGAUGCAAAUCAGAAAAGUAAAAGGAAGAGCAAAGAUAUUACCCUUCCUUUACCCCUGACAGCUGUGAUACCCGGAAAGCCAGUGAUGAGACCUAUGAAGAGGCAGUUGAGUGAGAAGGAUAUAGUUAUCGGCCCAAAUGGACAAGUUAAAAGGAAACGAUUUCGUAGGGGCAGGAACCCCAAUAUUAACUAUUCCAGUGGUCAGACAGCUAGUAAAUCUGCUGCUGUGGUGCCUGUAAAACCUGACAAAGAGUGGAACCAGAGGACAAGUAGCUCACCAAAUAGUACCAAUCUUGGUAAUUGUGUGGAUUAUGCCUUUAACGGGCGGCGGUUGCGACAGAGACCUGAGAAGCCUCAAGAAAAAGACAAAAUCUCCAAUCCACCAACUCCAAAACCCAGCCCUGUCAAACAGGAACCUGACAUCAGUAUGGACGAUCUCAAAAGUUCCGUUAAUAUUUAUUUUGGAGCUGCGAAUCGUAUUGCAACAGGAGAAAGAUUCGUGGUGAAAGCCAAAAGAAUUGGACCCAAUGGUAAAAUGGACUAUUUGAUAGAAUGGGAGGGGCCUAGUACAGGAAUGACUUGAUGAGCAUGCAUUAUUUUGCUUAUCCUAUCCAUUGUAGUGCUUUGAGGCUGUUAGGGGGGCACAGAUUUUUUUUUAUUUCUUUCGGCUGUUCGAGGGAGUCUACUGCUCAAAAUCGUACAAAAUAUGUUAUAGAUUAUGGAUGUUGGAAACACUCGGAAAUAUCAUGAAACACAUUUAUUCGUAAAAAAUAUGUUAAAAAAUUUCAAGAGUU